rnacentral:lncRNA from 1 species
ACAUGAUCCAUAAGUCUUUUCAAAACUGAUUCUCCCCCCAAUUUAACCAAGAUUAUUUUCAGAUCCCUACAAAAGACACAAAGCAAGACUCGAUUAUCCUAAAUAAAAUACAAAAAAAGCAAAGAUAAAAACAAAAAUUUAAAAUUUAAAAACUAGGGUUGCCUCCCAGAAAGCGCUAAGUUUACCGUCUUCAGCUAGACCAUACUGAUUCUCUCACCUAUCCCGUGUCAAAUAUUGGAUUGAUAAAUUCUAAUGGUUUUGGAUUGCCAAUCUCAAGAAGAUGGUCUAUAAUAAAUUUUAAUAUUUUAUUAUGAAUCUUUAGAAAGUAGUUCACAUCCUCAUUCUUAAUUUUAGAAAGAUAGUUCACAAACCCAUUCAUAGACUCUUGUUUAUCGAGAAUUUUUCCUAUUUGUUCUUCUAAAAUGCUCAUGAAUUGAGUUUUUAGG